rnacentral:rRNA from 1 species
GACGAACGCUGGCGGCGUGCUUAACACAUGCAAGUCGAACGGAAAGGCCCUGCUUUUUUGGGGUGCUCGAGUGGCGAACGGGUGGGUAACACGUGAGUAACCUGCCCUUGACUUUGGGAUAACUUCAGGAAACUGGGGCUAAUACCGGAUAGGAACUCCUGCUGCAUGGUGGGGGUUGGAAAGGUUCGGCGGUUGGGGGUGGACUCGCGGCUUAUGAGCUUGUUUGUGGGGGAGUGGCGUACCAAGGCUUUGACGGGUAGCCGGCCUGAGAGGGUGACCGGCGACAUUGGGACUGAGAUACGGCGCAGACUGCUACGGGAGGCAGCAGUGGGGAAUAUUGCACAAUGGGCGGAAGCCUGAUGCAGCAACGCCGCGUGCGGGAUGACGGCCUUCGGGUGGUAAACCGCGUUCGCCUGUGACGAUGCGUGAGUGACGGUAAUGGGUAAAGAAGCACCGGCUAACUACGUG